rnacentral:rRNA from 1 species
AUUGAACGCUGGCGGCAGGCUUAACACAUGCAAGUCGAGCGGAGCGAGGGUGCUUGCACCUUAGCUUAGCGGCGGACGGGUGAGUAAUGCUUAGGAAUCUGCCUAUUAGUGGGGGACAACAUUCCGAAAGGAAUGCUAAUACCGCAUACGCCCUACGGGGGAAAGCAGGGGAUCUUCGGACCUUGCGCUCAUAGAUGAGCCUAGGUCGGAGUAGCUAGUUGGUGGGGUAAAGGCCUACCAAGGCGACGAUCUGUAGCGGGUCUGAGAGGAUGAUCCGCCACACUGGGACUGAGACACGGCCCAGACUCCUACGGGAGGCAGCAGUGGGGAAUAUUGGACAAUGGGCGGAAGCCUGAUCCAGCCAUGCCGCGUGUGUGAAGAAGGCCUUUUGGUUGUAAAGCACUUUAAGCGAGGAGGAGGUUACUUAGAUUAAUACUCUGGGAUAGUGGACGUUACUCGCAGAAUAAGCACCGGCUAACUCUGUGCCAGCAGCCGCAGUAA